rnacentral:misc_RNA from 1 species
GUGAAUCAUCGAAUUUUUGAACGCAUAUUGCACUCUCUGGUAUUCCGGGGAGUAUGCCUGUUUGAGGGUCAGUUAAAUAAAAAUCGAGGUUUUUGCUGCCUUUUCGUGGUGACGCUUCGGAAUUGGGUCGUCUUUACCUCUCGGUUAAGUGACUUAAAAUUUUUUGUAUGAUAUCUGAGAACUGAUUUAAAUUUAUUUGGUACGUUUUGUAAUAUCGAAUGUUUAUUAGUUGUGAUCAUCCUCAUGACUCACGUCUAUAGUUUUUUCAUCUAAUGACCUCAAAUCAGGUAGGAGUAGCCG